rnacentral:rRNA from 1 species
AGAGUUUGAUCCUGGCUCAGAUUGAACGCUGGCGGCAUGCUUUACACAUGCAAGUCGAACGGCAGCAUAGAGAGCUUGCUCUCUGAUGGCGAGUGGCGAACGGGUGAGUAAUACAUCGGAACGUGUCCGUUUGUGGGGGACAACCACCCGAAAGGGUGGCUAAUACCGCAUAAGACCUGAGGGUGAAAGCCGGGGACCGCAAGGCCUGGCGCGAACGGAGCGGCCGAUGACUGAUUAGCUGGUUGGCGGGGUAAAGGCCCACCAAGGCGACGAUCAGUAGCUGGUCUGAGAGGACGACCAGCCACACUGGAACUGAGACACGGUCCAGACUCCUACGGGAGGCAGCAGUGGGGAAUUUUGGACAAUGGGGGCAACCCUGAUCCAGCCAUGCCGCGUGCGGGAAGAAGGCCUUCGGGUUGUAAACCGCUUUUGUCAGGGACGAAAAGGUGCGGGUUAAGAGCUAGCACUGAUGACGGUACCUGAAGAAUAAGCACCGGCUAACUACGUGCCAGCAGCCGCGGUAAUACGUAGGGUGCGAGCGUUAAUCGGAAUUACUGGGCGUAAAGCGUGCGCAGGCGGUUGGGUAAGACAGAUGUGAAAUCCCCGGGCUUAACCUGGGAACUGCAUUUGUGACUGUCCGACUGGAGUAUGUCAGAGGGGGGUGGAAUUCCAAGUGUAGCAGUGAAAUGCGUAGAUAUUUGGAAGAACACCGAUGGCGAAGGCAGCCCCCUGGGGCAAAACUGACGCUCAUGCACGAAAGCGUGGGGAGCAAACAGGAUUAGAUACCCUGGUAGUCCACGCCCUAAACGAUGUCUACUGGUUGUUGGAGGGUAAAACCUUCAGUAACGAAGCUAACGCGUGAAGUAGACCGCCUGGGGAGUACGGUCGCAAGAUUAAAACUCAAAGGAAUUGACGGGGACCCGCACAAGCGGUGGAUGAUGUGGAUUAAUUCGAUGCAACGCGAAAAACCUUACCUAGCCUUGACAUGUCAGGAAUGCUCCGGAGAUGGGGCAGUGCCCGCAAGGGAACCUGAGCACAGGUGCUGCAUGGCUGUCGUCAGCUCGUGUCGUGAGAU